UGGAAGCUGUCAUUUCACCACUGUUUUUUUUUUCUACCGUGUGAUCCUUCAUUUUCAGGUUCAGCAAACUGAGGCUCCGACUGCUCUGGAAGUGGCUAACGCAACGUGCAGUUAAGUGCAAUACAUCCAUUAACUUAGACACUAUAACAUGAGCUGACUCUUCACAGUCCCGCACGCAUGAUGAGCCCCCCCCCCCUACCACAGCUUACCCUCCCAGCGGGCACCAGCCUGCCCGGCAGCCCCAGACGCUGUGUGCCGGGUCAUCCCAGCAAGGCUGCUCCAGAGGACCUGUUCUACCUCCUGUCGCGAAGGGUUGUCCAUAACAACCAACCAGGUGCCUAACGGAGAUGAUAAAUAAGAUCAGCUCUUCCACUGUGACUUUCGUCGGG